rnacentral:tRNA from 1 species
UGCCCCAUGGCUGAGUUGGUUACAGCGUCCGACUGUUAAUUUCUUCCCCCUGGAUUGUCAAUCGGAAGGUCGUGAGUUCGAGCCUCACUGGGGCAG